AUUGAACGCUGGCGGCGUGCUUAACACAUGCGAAGUCAAUCGGUAACAGGUGUAGCAAUACAUGCUGACGAGAGGCGGACGGGUGAGUAAUGCUUGGGAAUCUGCCUAUUAGUGGGGGACAACCCGGGGAAACUCGGGCUAAUACCGCAUACGCUCUACGGAGGAAAGCCGGGGACCGCAAGGCCUGGCGCUAAUAGAUGAGCCCAAGUCGGAUUAGCUAGUUGGUAGGGUAACGGCCUACCAAGGCGACAAUCCGUAGCUGGUCUGAGAGGACGACCAGCCACACCGGAACUGAGACACGGUCCGGACUCCUACGGGAGGCAGCAGUGGGGAAUAUUGGACAAUGGGGGCAACCCUGAUCCAGCGACGCCGCGUGGGUGAAGAAGGCCUGCGGGUUGUAAAGCCCUUUCGGUGGGGAAGAAAAGUCUCGACCUAAUACGUCGGGACCUUGACGUAACCCACUAAAGAAGCACCGGCUAACUCUGUGACAGCAGCCGCGGUAAC
rnacentral:rRNA from 1 species